CUGUGACCUACGAGCUACUCAGGGACUGGGAGUUGACUGGUGGGAAGAAGGGAGGAGAGAAGACUUGGAAUUGAUGAAUGACCAGGAGAAGAGGAGAGUCAUUUACUGCUCUCAGACUAGAAGGGCCCCCCAGCAACACUGCCAGAUUCCUGCCAGUUCCUAGUCUUGGAAAUGAUGGAUGGGGAGAGGCUUCCCGGGCUUGCACUUGCCUGGAGCAAUGCCAAGCCCACGGACAGCGAAGAUCUGACAUAAGGUCCACAUUAUGCAUCAGCAAGAGGCAAAUUGGAUCCCAACAGAUUUCCUCCUUUUAUACUUCAGCUAAAGGAAAACAGCUUUUUAUGUG